rnacentral:rRNA from 1 species
AUUGAACGCUGGCGGCAGGCCUAACACAUGCAAGUCGAGCGAGCGGCGGACGGGUGAGUAAUGUCUGGGAAACUGCCCGAUGGAGGGGGAUAACUACUGGAAACGGUAGCUAAUACCGCAUACCAUCGGAUGUACCCAUAUGGGAUUAGCUAGUAGGUGGGGUAAAGGCUCACCUAGGCGACGAUCCCUAGCUGGUCUGAGAGGAUGACCAGCCACACUGGAACUGAGAAACGGCCCAGACUCCUACGGGAGGCAGCAGUGGGGAAUAUUGCACAAUGGGCGCAAGCCUGAUGCAGCCAUGCCGCGUGUGUGAAGAAGGCCUUCGGGUUGUAAAGUACUUUCAGCGAGGAGGCGGUACCCGCAGAAGAAGCACCGGCUAACUCCGUGCCAGCAGCCGCGGUAAUAC